CUGGGCGGCCCUGUCCAAACACAAACACGAAGGCAGUAGUGUCCCUACCUAGACAGAUGCGAACACAAAAGAGACUUUUCAGCUAAUAAGAUCCUCUGGUGUCUGUAGCUCUAAGCAGACACCCGGAGCCCCUCUACCACCUGCCACACUGCAAGAUGGGUCCAGCUGCCUGGUGUGGGAGAGGUAUGAUGAAGGAUGAGUUCUCCAGCCUGGAGGAAGGGUUAAAAAGCAGAGAAAGGAUGAAACAGGAGGAUUGACAUUAGACUCCAAGAAGAACUUCCCGUUGCUAGGAUGCAGUAGAAGCUGGAAGAAAUUAGCAGGCGUCUUAUUGUCUAGAACUGAACCUGCAACAUCUCCAAGGGGCACACUUAUAGAGCAUUUGCUCUAGCCCAGCCUCUGUUCUAGGCACGGGAUACAGAGAAGAAUAAUCAGCACAGGUUCCUGUUCUCAUGGAGUUUACACACUAGGGAGGAAGAGGAGACAUAAAACAAUAAAUAAAUAAUGAGAUGAGGAAACUAAGGGUGUGAGAAGCAGCAUAUUGCCCAAAGUCACUCCACACGUUUGUGGCAAUUUGGACCUACGCCUGGAACUCCUUGUUCCUAGUCCAGUGAGCAUUUCUCCAGCCACAGCCUUUAGACACAGGAACUUGUCAAGCAAGCAUCAAGUUCCAAAGAGCCUCCUGUCUUGGGUCAGUCUCAGGCCAGAUGUUUCCUCCAAGUAAAUCACGCGCUAGGAGAUGAAGUGCUUCACUGCCUAUCAACAAUUAGGAAGAAUAAUGAUGAUAAUCAUUCAGAUGGCUCCAAGCAACGCCUCCUGAGGAGGGCGACUAAGGCUUCUUGUUUUGUGCUACUCGAAGUCCUGGAGUUAGUUCAGUGGUGUUCGAAGACGACCUAGGAGAAGAUCAUUUUCAUCUUUAAAAAGAUGUGCAGAAUCACAACUGCUAUUCACACGGCCCUUUAAAUUCACAAAGACCAUUAUAUCACUUAUAUCCACAAAAGCAAAGAAAACGUUUUGGGUGGAUUGUGAGGAAGCUGACAUUUGACAAUGGAGUUUCACUGAAGUUUAUAUUAUGAAGCUUUCACCAGAGCAGUUAAUAUAAACACUCUGCAAUGAUAAGCAUUUUAAGAGGGGCCAAAUCCACCGACUGGAAAUCUAAGACGAAGCGAAGGUAUUGCUGAAGAGGGCAGCCUGAAUGAGGAUGAACAUUCGAAAGAUGGAAGGGGAAGACAUCUGGGGGUGGGGGCGGCUUUCUUGAUGAG